rnacentral:misc_RNA from 1 species
CUCAGCAUGGGAAAGUUUUGUGUCCAUGUAUGGUGGGUGGCGGGGGCGCAGCCGGUAAUUCCAGAUGCCGAUCAUGAACAAGUAGAGGAAGACAGUGGGGAGGAUCAGCUCAGGGUAGCACACCAGGAUAAGGAACAGCACAUGGACUAGUAUAGUUGUCACUGGAUUCCUCCAAUUCCGAACACCGUCAAACCAUUUGGCGAUAGCAGCUGCACCAGAGAGG